UUGCUGGGAAACGGAGUCUUUGAUGAUGUGUUCUCCCUGCUGUGAAGACUAAUGACUUCAAAGAGGGCAUCCUGCCACGCUAGGGGCUUGCGUGGAAAAUCUGACUGCAGUGUAAUUAGGAAGAGGCUUGAGUGUAGGCUUGUAUGUCCAACAGCACCCUCCUCUGCCCACUAAAAAACACGAUUUGUGAAAGGGAGACAAUGCUUUUGAAAAGCAAGGUGUGUCUUCAGGAUAACUGCUUUGAUGCUGAUAAAGGUGAAGGGCCGAGGUGCACAUCUCAUCAGAGGAUUAACGAAAGACCUUGAAGCUCAGGCUCCUCAGACAUGACCAGGCUGGACUUGACAGAGCCCAAAGCCCCGAGUCACCUAUCUUUCAGGAAUAAGUAAAAAGUAACAGUGACCCCUGGCUUCUCUAUCUUCCUGGCCCAACACAAAAACUUCCCCUUCAGUGAGGAAGUGAGCUCACCAUCAGCGAUCAGGUGCUCAGGGACGUGCAGGGUGAUUUUGACAACGAGGGGGCAGCUGACGUGGGAGGAGCACACGAGGCCAAUCACACAGCUGGUGAUGCUGAUCAGCGUCAAAGUGGUCUUAUUCACAGGACUUCGGGGAGAGCCCACUGGAAGCAAGAUACAAGCAAGACACAUGGCGCACUAGUCAUGGGCCCGGUCUCCCUGCCUCAACCUCCCCCACCGUUGCCUACCCUCCAUGAGGAGCCCAGAGGCCCCCUUCAUGAAGCCGAGCAGACCAGGGAGAUGCUCUUGAAAAACCUCCAGUGAUGCCAACUGAAGCAUUAGGUCUGAGUCCUCCAGUCAAGGAUUUUAUUAAAGCAGAACACACCCUGCUCUGGGUUGGAUGGGCCAAGGUCGACUAUCUGCUGUAUAUAAAUAUGUAAAGAGGAUCAAGGGAUCCACAUUCUCACCUCAGGGAUUCUGGGGCAUCAGGCGUUAGGCAUCAGGGCCCAGAGCCCCACUGAUCUCCUGGGAAAAAUGGUGGGAAGGAUGUUUGUCCAGACAGUAGCAAAGCUUACGGAAACUGGAACUGAGGAAUUAAAAGCCCUGCUUCCAUUCUCUGGGAAGAAAGCCCUCAGUGUGGAAGGGACUCAAGUGGAGGAGGAAACGCCAGCUGUGGUCCUGCAGAAACUGGCUCUGAUCUACACAAACCCCAGCCCGACCCCGCACCUCUGUAGCCCCCUGCCUCUCGGCCAGAGCCCUGCUACCCGCCUUGCCCCUCCGGCCUUCCCACCUCGGCUGCGUCCUCCGGCUCCGCGAGGGGUCGGUGUAGAAGGUCAGCUGGGGGUCAUUCUCUGUCUCUGUGCCAGAAUCGCCUUCAGGGUUCAGGAAGGCGGAACCAGCUGUAAUGAAAAGAACCACAGCAAAGGCAACAUCUUCAAUGUUUUUCUCCAUGACACCAACUCACUGGGCAAGUUCGAGAGAAAAAUCGAUAAAAACAAGAGCGGGUUGACUGACAAUUUGGGAGGAGUAGCCAUGGACACUGGAGCUUCCUGAUACUAAGAUUUAUUGGAGAAGUGGACCUUUCCAUGCCAGCAGUCAUGGGCCUCACCUCCGCCCAGCCCUGGCUCCCCCCGGGUUGGACCCUUCCUGGCAGCACUGCCAGAGAGGACCUUCAUGGAUGGUCUACAGAAUGGAGGGUGGAGAGAAGAGGAGAGAUGACAACUGAAAAUUCAAAGCCAACGGAUUCUGUAUUGAUUAGGGUCACCACAUGUGGCCCCCCAGGCUAGACACAGACAACAGAUUCCCUUCUCUGGGGGUGGCACAGAGUUUUAAACGCAUCUGAAUUUGAGUGCACCCAGGUGGAAUGUGCCCUCUCUCUCUUCCAUCCCAGGCUGCACCAUCCCCUGCUGUCUGACACCCAGCUACUGCACUUAUUUGCACUACCCACCAUCCCCUGAACACACAGAGUUUGUAACCCCUGAGUAUGGCUCCCUGGUGGGCUUUGCACCAUGCCAGGCACUAUGGGGACCAUGAGGCAUUCACGACACGUCUCCUAUCCUCAGGGAGUUCCCAGACUUUAAAUCUCGUUAAGAAGUGGCUAUUCAUUUAGGAUCUCUUCUAGAUACCAAGCAGAAUGGAGGCACUUCUUCAUUUUUAUAAGAUGUAUUUAUUUACUUGAGGGGGAGGCGCAGAAGGAGAGAAUUGUCAAGCAGACUCCCUGCUGAGCGUGGCCAGAUGUAGGACUAGAUCCAGUAAUCAAGAUCUGAGUCAAAACCAAGAGUCAGAUGCUCAAGCGACUAAGCCACCCAGGUGCCCCAGAAUAGAGACUUCCAUGAUGUGAUUUCCCUCUUUUCAAGCCCCACUGGGAGUCUAUAUGCAAUAUCCAGUAUGAAAAAUGCCUUCUUUAAAGAUAAGUGAGCAGGUUUUUGAGGAAUCACUGUCUUGGGGUUUUAUCUAUGAGGAGUUGCUGAUUCAUGGAAGUUUCAGAGACAGACGGGGGCGGGGGGCACGGUAAAAGGAAAGUGCAGUCGUUUCCUCUCCGCAUUUUGUUCACCCUGAAUUGGUUCACCCCGAUUAGGUCCAAGUCUUUUCCACCCAGCAUCUUGUAGAAAUACAAGGCAUCAGGUCAGACAGCAUGAUUGUAUUCCUAAUCUUUUUUGAAGAAGUACGAUCUGUAUAAAGACCAUAGAUGCAAGGGCAAGACAACACAACUAACU